UGCUACCUACGGGACGCAGCAGUGGGGAAUAUUGCACAAUGGGGGAAACCCUGAUGCAGCAACGCCGCGUGAAGGAAGACGGUUUUCGGAUUGUAAACUUCUGUUCUUAGUGAAGAAAGAUGACGGUAGCUAAGGAGCAAGCCACGGCUAACUACGUACCAGCAGCCGCGGUAAUACGUAGGUGGCAAGCGUUGUCCGGAAUUACUGGGUGUAAAGGGAGCGCAGGCGGGAAGCCAAGGCAGGUGUGAAAACUACGGGCUUAACUUGUAG
rnacentral:rRNA from 1 species